UAGGGAAUCUUCGGCAAUGGGGGGAACCCUGACCGAGCAACGCCGCGUGAGUGAAGAAGGUUUUCGGAUCGUAAAGCUCUGUUGUUAAGGAAGAACGAGUGUGAGAAUGGAAAGUUCAUGCUGUGACGGUACUUAACCAGAAAGGGACGGCUAACUACGUGCCAGCAGCCGCGGUAAUACGUAGGUCCCGAGCGUUGUCCGGAUUUAUUGGGCGUAAAGCGAGCGCAGGCGGUUAGAAAAGUCUGAAGUGAAGGGCAGUGGCUCAACCAUUGUAGGCUUUGGAAACUGUUUAACUUGAGUGCAGAAGGGGAGAGUGGAAUUCCAUGUGUAGCGGUGAAAUGCGUAGAUAUAUGGAGGAACACCGGUGGCGAAAGCGGCUCUCUGGUCUGUAACUGACGCUGAGGCUCGAAAGCGUGGGUAGCAAACAGG
rnacentral:rRNA from 1 species